UGCCAGACUCCUACGGGAGGCAGCAGUGGGGGAUAUUGCACAAUGGGGGGAACCCUGAUGCAGCGACGCCGCGUGGGUGAAGGAGCGUUUCGGCGCGUAAAGCCCUAUCGGCAGGGAAGAAGGAGGACGGUACCUGACUAAGAAGCCCCGGCUAACUACGUGCCAGCAGCCGCGGUAAUACGUAGGGGGCAAGCGUUAUCCGGAUUCACUGGGUGUAAAGGGAGCGUAGACGGCGACGCAAGUCUGGAGUGAAAGCCCGGGGCCCAACCCCGGGACUGCUUUUGAAACUGUAUGGCUAGAUUGCAGGAGAGGCAAGUGGAAUUCCUAGUGUAGCGGUGAAAUGCGUAGAUAUUAGGAGGAACACCAGUGGCGAAGGCGGCCUGCUGGACGACAACUGACGGUGAGGCGCGAAAGCGUGGGGAGCAAACAGGAUUAGAUACCCGGGUA
rnacentral:rRNA from 1 species